rnacentral:rRNA from 1 species
GACGAACGCUGGCGGCGUGCUUAACACAUGCAAGUCGAACGGAAAGGCCUUUUCGGAGGUACUCGAGUGGCGAACGGGUGAGUAACACGUGGGUGAUCUGCCCUGCACUCUGGGAUAAGCCUGGGAAACUGGGUCUAAUACCGGAUAGGACCGCACUUUAGUGUGUGUGGUGGAAAGUUUUUUCGGUGUAGGAUGAGCCCGCGGCCUAUCAGCUUGUUGGUGGGGUAAUGGCCUACCAAGGCGGCGACGGGUAGCCGGACUGAGAGGUUGGUCGGCCACAUUGGGACUGAGAUACGGCCCAGACUCCUACGGGAGGCAGCAGUGGGGAAUAUUGCACAAUGGGCGCAAGCCGGAUGCAGCGACGCCGCGUGGGGGAUGACGGCCUUCGGGUUGUAAACUCCUUUCGCCAGGGACGAAGCGUUUUGUGACGGUACCUGGAGAAGAAGCACCGGCUAACUACGUG